AGACUGGCAGACAGGUGGGGACUGUGAUCAUCUGGCCAGCCUCUCUGCACCUGGCCUGCCCACUCCAGAGUCCCCGCCCUGCUCUCAGCUGGACAUCUCGGGCACCUGAAUUCCCUUCUGCCUUGAGUCGAGAGGAUGCCUCCAAGCUCCAGGCACAUCAAGGGAAGUGGCUGCCCGGGCAUCUGCAGUAUUCAGUGCCAGUCCUCAGGUGACCGCUAGGGGACAGUGUGGCCCGACUCCUGCUGCCACCUGGUGCCCCACGGCCCAGCCCCGCUGGUUGAGCAGUGCUGUGUGCUGCAGUUCAGAGCCAUGGCCCGCAGCUAUCGUCACCACCUACACCUGCUGCUUCUCCCCCUCGACCACAGCCACAGUUGGUACCCAGCCUGUUGUGGCAGCUGGGACAUUUGCUGGGGAGACCUGCCUGGAGUCACUGAGCUGAUGGUGGAAGUCAGGAUGGAAAGGGGAUUGUUCUCUAGACACCUUCUGUCUUCUUCUCACUCUCACUCCUGCUCGGAAAUGGAUGCUGUCGGGGACUUCCCUGGUGGUCCAGUGGCCGAGAGUGCUCCCAGAGCAGGGGGCUGGGGUUCCAUCCCUGGUCAGGGAACUAGAUCCCACAUGUAACAACUAAGAGUUCACAUGCAGCAACUAAGACCUGGCACAGCCAAAUAAAUGAAUAAAUAAAUAUUAAGA
ensembl:lncRNA